CUGAUGUAUCGUCAUGUGUAUUUCUUUGUAGCCUCUUUCUGUUUCAUCUGUCUUAUCAGGCUCUUGUGUGCAGAUGAGGAUCCAAGCAGGCAUGACAACACUGAAUUUAAACAAAGGAUCACUUGUCACACUUUGCUUCGGUCCAUGAACAGGUGGAGCCUUGAUGUUAUGGUGACCUAUAGACUGUAUAUGUUGCUUAGAGUCUGAAAAUGACUGGUGGGAAGGAAGGAUGAGAGAAGACUGCAAACUGAUGAAUGACCAGGAGGAGUCAUCAUUAUUUACUGUCCUCCAACUAGAAGAACCAGGGGACCCCAGCAAGGAUAUGUGUUGUGGAGGUGAACAAGACCUUUCUGAGAACAGAGUGACUUCUACAAGCAAUUUUCUAAGGAAAUGUUAUGCCAGUGCCCUGUUUUCAAUACCCCUCUCCGCUGAGAAAAACAUGACAAAAUGUCUAAGCCAAGCUCCAGUGAGCAUUAUUAAAGAAUAGAGAGAGAUUACUUCCUGCUUGGUGUGUAUCCAAAGAAAACUGCAAAUAAUGUUUUCUGCUCAUGGGAGAAGGAAGGAACUCCAUAAGUGAAGCAUACUGAGUGUGAAAGGAGUAAGCUUCUCUUCACCACGUAAAAAGUAAACCAUCUUGAGUUGGUAAGAACAAAGUCUAUUGACAGAUGACACUGAGGACUGUGAUUACAUGGAGAGAGAAAAAAGGAAAUGAGGAAAAAUAAUGCUGAGCUGAUGCUUCAUAGGAAACACUCGAGAUGAUGGAUAGCUAUGCUAUUCUUUUGCAAGCAUCAACUGUCUUCCGUUAUGAUUAGUGCUAGCUGAAUCAACCCUGAAAUAGAUGAAAAGCUGCCACUAUCCCAAGUUCCAGUGUGUACAUAAGAAUUU
rnacentral:lncRNA from 1 species